GACAAACGCUGGCGGCGUGUAUUAGGCAUGCAAGUCGAGCGCACCUUCGGGUGAGUGGCGGACGGGUGAGUAACACGUGGGUAACCUGCCUCGCAGUGGGGAAUAACUCGCCGAAAGGCGAGCUAAUACCGCAUACCACUCCCGGUGAGAAUCCGGGUAGUAAAAGUAGCAAUACGCUGUGAGAGGGGCCCGCGGCCGAUUAGCUUGUUGGUGGGGUAAUGGCCUACCAAGGCGACGAUCGGUAGCUGGUCUGAGAGGAUGGUCAGCCACACGGGGACUGAGAUACGGCCCCGACUCCUACGGGAGGCAGCAGCUAAGAAUCUUGCGCAAUGGGCGAAAGCCUGACGCAGCAACGCCGCGUGGGGGACGAAGGCCUUCGGGUCGUAAACCCCUUUUGUGAGGGAAAGAAGUUCUGACGGUACCUCACGAAAUAAGCCACGGCUAACUACGUGCCAGC
rnacentral:rRNA from 1 species